UACGGAGGGGGCUAGCGUUGUUCGGAAUACUGGGCGUAAAGCGCGCGUAGGCGGACCUGCAAGUCGGGGGUGAAAGCCCGAGGCUCAACCUCGGAACUGCCUUCGAUACUGCGGGUCUCGAGUCCGGGAGAGGUGAGUGGAAUUCCUAGUGUAGAGGUGAAAUUCGUAGAUAUUAGGAAGAACACCAGUGGCGAAGGCGGCUCACUGGCCCGGUACUGACGCUGAGGCGCGAAAGCGUGGGG
rnacentral:rRNA from 1 species